UGGCGGACGGGUGAGUAACGCGUGGGUAACCUGCCUCAUACAGGGGAUAACAGUUAGAAAUGACUGCUAAUACCGCAUAAGACCACAGCACCGCAUGGUGCGAAGGGGUAAAAACUCCGGUGGUAUGAGAUGGACCCGCGUCUGAUAGUAGUUGGUGGGGUAACGGCCUACCAAGCCGACGAUCAGUAGCCGACCUGAGAGGGUGACCGGCCACAUUGGGACUGAGACACGGCCCAA
rnacentral:rRNA from 1 species